rnacentral:rRNA from 1 species
AUGGGGGCGGGGGUCUCGAGCUUUUUCUUCGGCGCGGCGGCGGAGGCUGCGCCGGGUGCUGCGGGCCUGGGCGACCUGCCGGAGCUCUGCGCCGCGCAGGUGCUGCUCCGCCUCGACGCGCCGGAGAUCUGCCGCCUCGCGCGCCUCAACCACGCCUUCCGCGGCGCCGCGGGGGCAGACUUCGUGUGGGAGGCCAAGCUGCCGGAGAACUACCGCCACCUGAUCGGGUACGUCGAGGGCGGGGGCGAGGAGGGCAGGCGCCGGCGGCGCCGGGCCGGGACCAAGGAGAUCUACGCCAGGCUCUCCAGGCCCGUCUCUUUCGACGACGGCACCAAGGAAUUUUGGCUAGAGAAGAGCAAGGGUAGGGUUUGCAUGGCGCUAUCCUCCAAAGCUCUGGUCAUAACUGGCAUCGAUGACAGGAGAUAUUGGACACACAUGCCGACCACAGAAUCGAGGUUCCAGUCCGUGGCAUACCUUCAGCAAAUCUGGUGGUUUGAAGUGGUUGGGGAGCUCGAUUUCUGCUUCCCUGUUGGAACCUACAGUUUAUACUUUAGGGUUCAUCUUGGGAAGUUCAGCAAGCGGUUUGGACGUCGUGUUUGUAGCACCGAGCACGUCCACGGCUGGAACAAGAAGCCGGUGCGCUUCCAGCUCUCCACCUCAGACGGCCAGAAUGCAUUAUCUCAAUGCUACCUGGAUGAGCCUGGGAGCUGGGUUCUGUACCAUGCAGGCGAUUUUGUUUCCACGAAUCCCCGCCAGGCGCUGAAGCUGAAGUUCUCGAUGGCGCAGAUCGACUGCACGCACACGAAAGGUGGCCUGUGUGUCGACUCGGUGCUUGUGUACCCCAAGGGCUUUCAGCAAGAGAAGGUGGUGACCGGCAAGAUCUCAGAGAUGCGAUCGUCGUAG